UACGUAGGGUGCAAGCGUUGUCCGGAAUUAUUGGGCGUAAAGAGCUCGUAGGCGGUCUGUCGCGUCUGCUGUGAAAACUCGGGGCUUAACCCCGGGCCUGCAGUGGGUACGGGCAGACUAGAGUGCGGUAGGGGAGACUGGAAUUCCUGGUGUAGCGGUGAAAUGCGCAGAUAUCAGGAGGAACACCGGUGGCGAAGGCGGGUCUCUGGGCCGAUACUGACGCUGAGGAGCGAAAUCGUGGGGAGCGAACAGG
rnacentral:rRNA from 1 species